CGAACGCUGGCGGCGUGCUUAACACAUGCAAGUCGAACGGGGUCCAACGAAACUUCGGUUUUGUGAAGACCUAGUGGCGAACGGGUGAGUAACACGUGACUAAUCUACCCCGGACUGGGGAAUAACAUCGGGAAACUGAUGCUAAUACCGCAUAUUGAGGAACUAUCGCAUGGUAGCUUCUUGAAAGAUUUAUCGGUCCGGGAUGUGGUCGCGUCCUAUUAGCUUGUUGGUGAGGUAACGGCUCACCAAGGCGACGAUGGGUAGCUGGUCUGAGAGGAUGAUCAGCCACACUGGGACUGAGAUACGGCCCAGACUCCUACGGGAGGCAGCAGUGAGGAAUAUUGCGCAAUGGGCGAAAGCCUGACGCAGCAACGCCGCGUGAAGGAUGAAGGUGCUCUGCAUUGUAAACUUCUGUAAGGAGGGAAGAACUCCCCGCUUUUGGCGGGGCUGACGGUACCUCCAAAGUAAGCACCGGCUAAUUCA
rnacentral:rRNA from 1 species